rnacentral:rRNA from 1 species
GACGAACGCUGGCGGCGUGCUUAACACAUGCAAGUCGAACGAAGUGGGAACGGGUGAGUAACACGUGAGUAACCUCCCUCCACUUUGGGAUACGUCCGAGAACUCGGGGCUAAACUGGAUUGAUGGGCUCGCUGCCUAUCAGUUUGUUUGUGUGGUGGGGGCUCACCAAGGCGAUGACGGGUAGCCGGCCUGAGAGGGCGACCGGCCACACUGGAACUGAGCCACGGCCCAGACUCCUACGGGAGGCAGCAGUGGGGAAUAUUGCACAAUGGGCGAAAGCCUGAUGCAGCGAAGCCGCGUGAGGGAAGAAGGUUUUCGGAUCGUAAAACUCUGUUGUUAGAGAAGCGGUAUCUAACCAGAAAGCCACGGCUAACUACGUGCCAGCAGCCGCGGUAAUUC